CGCGGCCUAUCAGCUUGUUGGUGGGGUGAUGGCCUACCAAGGCGACGACGGGUAGCCGGCCUGAGAGGGUGUCCGGCCACACUGGGACUGAGAUACGGCCCAGACUCCUACGGGAGGCAGCAGUGGGGAAUAUUGCACAAUGGGCGCAAGCCUGAUGCAGCGACGCCGCGUGGGGGAUGACGGCCUUCGGGUUGUAAACCUCUUUCAGUAGGGACGAAGCGUAAGUGACGGUACCUAUAGAAGAAGCACCGGCCAACUACGUGCCAGCAGCCGCGGUAAUACGUAGGGUGCGAGCGUUGUCCGGAAUUACUGGGCGUAAGGAGCUCGUAGGUGGUUUGUCGCGUUGUUCGUGAAAACUCACAGCUUAACUGUGGGCGUGCGGGCGAUACGGGCAGACUGGAGUACUGCAGGGGAGACUGGAAUUCCUGGUGUAGCGGUGGAAUGCGCAGAUAUCAGGAGGAACACCGGUGGCGAAGGCGGGUCUCUGGGCAGUAACUGACGCUGAGGAGCGAAAGCGUGGGGAGCGAACAGGAUUAGAUACCCUGGUAGUCCACGCCGUAAACGGUGGGUACUAGGUGUGGGUUUCCUUCCUUGGGAUCCGUGCCGUAGCUAACGCAUUAAGUACCCCGCCUGGGGAGUACGGA
rnacentral:rRNA from 1 species